GAGAGCACCAGAACCAGGAGAAGACUGAUCCAUCCGUUGUACAUUGAGAGUAAGAUUUGCCUUUGAAGAUGAAAGGAAAGCUACAUGGCUCUUUCGGAUUUGCGUCUGGAAUGGUUAGGGAGAAGUGAGAAAGUGGGAGCUGUACCGACUGAAAAGAAUCCAGCACAACAGGACCAGACGGUACCCAAGGCACAUGUGCUGGAACUGCCACAAACCUGUUGUCCAAAUUUGCUUUGAUGUGAGUGACUUCAUCUGCAACUGUGGCAUGCAAACUGGUCACAGCAGGCAAUAGAUGGUUCAUUCCCCAUUACACAUGGGGAUGUGUGAAGCAAUAACUUUACUACACGAUAAAGCUCUGCUGGCCUGCACUGAGCAGAUGAAAUUGAUACGGAAAAAAUAUUUUUCUUCACUUCUGCCCACCACCACCACCACCACGGAGUAGUCCCGAAAAUUGGUUCUAGCCCGUGUUUGAUAGGAUUUGUCAUGAGUCUUCCACCAGUGUCGUUCCAGCCGUUGUCCGAGUUGUUUCAUUGCCCUAAGCUCUUCAGAAAAUCAAGGAGCAGAACGGGCUCCACCAAGCCAGAGAGGGUGUUUAGGAGCAGCUGUGUCAGUAGCCUGGACUGUCUCCACGUUCUAGAGAUUCACCAGGGCCUCUCCAGAGUCACCAGCUCUGGACACUGGAAACUUCCCAAGGGCUGUCUGGAAACUGAACAGAUCCAUAAGCCUCCGGGGUGGACCAUUCUAAUUGGUCCAGCACCCCUGCAGAGGAUAGACAAAGCAGUCAAACUAAACCCCACCAGAUAAUGAUCUGUCCAUGGCAAGAGAGAUAUUUCCAACUCCCCCACCUCCAGAUCAUUUAUUCCUUGAAUCAAAACCAGAUCCAAAGUAUGCUCUGCCAUGUGGGUCAGGCCCAAUACCAAUUGAGAUAGGCCCAUGGUUGCCAUGGAGGCCAUGAAGUUCUGAGUGGUCCCUACUAAGGGGGCCUCAGCAUGGACAUUGAAGUCCCCCAAGACCAUAGAUUUGGGGGAAACCCAAUGCUAACUUCGAGACCUCCCCUGCCAGCUCAGGUAGAGAGACUGAAGUGCAGUGCAGAGGAGUGUUCGGUGCAUCAACAGAAUCCCCAGCCUAUCUCGGAGGCCCACCCUCAAGGACAAAGACUUGAAACCUGGAGAUUGCUUAACUGGGCACCUGAAAAGGGAAAAGGUCUCAUGAUCAAUGACUGCUAAGCCCCCUCUCCAACCCUCUGCUGCAAGAUGAGGAAGCCUGGAGGACAAAGCUGAGAGAGACCAAUCCCACCCAGCCCAUGCAACCAGGUCUCCAUCACACAUAGCAAGUGUGCUUAUGCACAAUCAAAUCAUGGAUGAGAGAUGUUUUACCAUUUACUGACCUGGCAUUCAUUAGCAGCACUUGGCCGGUCAUGCAUCUCUCAGCCUAACCUACCUCACAGGGUUGUUGUUAGGAUAAACAUAACUAUGUACCAUGUCUGGGCUCUUUGGAGGAAGAAUGGGAUACAAAUGUAAUUAAUUAAUUAAUUAAUUAAUUAAUUAAUUAAUUAAUUAAUUAAUAUCUCCCUCUGCCUGAUGGGCCAGAGUACAGCCAUUUUGCCCCUUUUGUAUGUGAAGUCACUAAGCUAGAGUGCUUACAUAGCUGUCAGCUAAGCCUGCAUAGCUUCUAGCUUGCCAAUUAACCAUUAGGUGUAUGAAUCACCUCUGUUCCCAUGAGAAAGAAGGAAGAAAAUGGUAAUCUGCUCCUUGUUCUGUAAAUGCAAGAGAUAACAGUAUGCGGGAACAGGUUAUGCUAAAAGCUCGGAGGGAUAGUGUAUCCUGAAGAAUGUUUGCCUACAUUUAUCUAAGUGCUUCAAGACUAGCAGAAAGGGAGGGGUACUAACAGAAUAAGAUGAAGCUGAAACUUUGUGUAGCUUCUCCUAUAUAACACUGAUGCUGAAUUUUCUGGGUGUGCUUUUUGCUUUGGAAAUCAUUCCCUUUAGCACCAUUUAUUCUGCAGAAUAAAAGCUGAUUUCUAGAUCUCCA